GAGAGAGAUCUGGCGAGGAUGAAGAGCAGUCACAUCCCACAAGACCCCACAGGAUAGAUGACAGGCACCUCUCCCCUGCUUCUCAAGAGAAACUUGCACAACCCCACUGCAAAGAAAAUGGAGCAUAGGCCAGGCGCCGUGGCUCACGCCUGUAAUUCCAGCACUUUGGGAGGCCAUGGCGGGCAGAUCAUGAGGCUACAUUGGCGUGGUGAACCGCAGCCAGAAGGAUAUUGAGGGCAAGAAGGACAUCCGUGCAGCAUUGGCAGCUGAGAGGAAGUUCUUCCUCUCCCACCCGGCCUACCGGCACAUGGCCGACCGCAUGGGCACGCCACAUCUGCAGAAGACGCUGAAUCAGCAACUGACCAACCACAUCCGGGAGUCGCUGCCGGCCCUACGUAGCAAACUACAGAGCCAGCUGCUGUCCCUGGAGAAGGAGGUGGAGGAGUACAAGAACUUCCGGCCCGACGACCCCACCCGCAAAACCAAAGCCCUGCUGCAGAUGGUCCAGCAGUUUGGGGUGGAUUUUGAGA
rnacentral:sRNA from 1 species